rnacentral:rRNA from 1 species
AAAUAGAUACCCUGGUAGUCCAUGCCGUAAACGAUGUCUACUAGCCGUUGGGGCCCUUGAGGGCUUUAGUGGCGCAGCUAACGCGAUAAGUAGACCGCCUGGGGAGUACGGUCGCAAGACUAAAACUCAAAUGAAUUGACGGGGGCCCGCACAAGCGGUGGAGCAUGUGGUUUAAUUCGAUGCAACGCGAAGAACCUUACCUGGCCUUGACAUACAGAGAACUUUCCAGAGAUGGAUUGGUGCCUUCGGGAACUCUGAUACAGGUGCUGCAUGGCUGUCGUCAGCUCGUGUCGUGAGAUGUUGGGUUAAGUCCCGCAACGAGCGCAACCCUUUUCCUUAUUUGCCAGCACUUCGGGUGGGAACUUUAAGGAUACUGCCAGUGACAAACUGGAGGAAGGCGGGGACGACGUCAAGUCAUCAUGGCCCUUACGGCCAGGGCUACACACGUGCUACAAUGGUCGGUACAAAGGGUUGCUACUGCGCGAGCAGAUGCUAAUCUCAAAAGCCGAUCGUAGUCCGGAUCGC